CCUGAAUACAUAGGGUAAGGAGGCGAACCGGGGGAACUGAAACAUCUAAGUACCCCGAGGAAAAGAAAUCAACCGAGAUUCCGAAAGUAGCGGCGAGCGAAAUUGGACUAGCCCUUAAGCUUUACACACGUUAGACGAACGGUCUGGAAAGUCCGACGAUACAGGGUGAUAGUCCCGUAGUUGACGACGUGUGUUCAGUGAAAUCGAGUAGGGCGGGACACGUGAUAUCCUGUCUGAAUAUGGGGGGACCAUCCUCCAAGGCUAAAUACUACUGACUGACCGAUAGUGAACCAGUACCGUGAGGGAAAGGCGAAAAGAACCCCUGUGAGGGGAGUGAAAUAGAACCUGAAACCGUGUACGUACAAGCAGUAGGAGCAGGCUUGUCCUGUGACUGCGUACCUUUUGUAUAAUGGGUCAGCGACUUAUAUUCAGUGGCAAGGUUAACCAUCUAGGGGAGCCGUAGGGAAACCGAGUCUUAACUGGGCGUUCAGUCUCUGGAUAUAGACCCGAAACCAGGUGAUCUAGCCAUGGGCAGGUUGAAGGUUGAGUAACAUCAACUGGAGGAC
rnacentral:rRNA from 1 species